rnacentral:rRNA from 1 species
AUUGAACGCUGGCGGCAGGCCUAACACAUGCAAGUCGAGCGGAGCGGCGGACGGGUUAGUAAUGCCUAGGAAUCUGCCUGGUAGUGGGGAUAACGUCCGGAAACGGGCGCUAAUACCGCAUACUAUCAGAUGAGCCUAGGUCGGAUUAGCUAGUUGGUGGGGUAAAGGCCUAACAAGGCGACGAUCCGUAACUGGUCUGAGAGGAUGAUCAGUAACACUGGAACUGAGACACGGUCCAGACUCCUACGGGAGGCAGCAGUGGGGAAUAGUGCACAAUGGGCGCAAGACUGAGGCAGCCAGGCCGCGUGUAUGAAGAAGGCCUUCGGGUUGUAAAGUACUUGCAGCGGGGAGGCGUUACCCGCAGAAGAAGCACCGGCUAACUCCGUGCCAGCAGCCGCGGUAAUUC